AUGUACAUUUGUAGUAAACAGCGAUUUCAGACAAAAAAAACCUUCAAAGUUAACUACAGUUUGUGUUUUAAAUUACCACAAACUUACAAAGUGUUUUUUUUUCCUGUAGUCUGGAACAUGAGGGCAAGUUUAGGAUUACAGCUGGAUUACGAAGAUGUGCCUGUGAGCUCACGCUAGACCCCAACACAGUGCACACACAUCUGUCUCUGUCUGAGGGGAACAAAAAGUGGAUUCAAUAGUGAAAACAUCAUAAUAGGUUUUCUCAAGAUCUUGAUUUAGCAGUUGAUUUCUCCUUUUCUAAUUUGUGAGAAACAAACAGUCCAAUUAAUUUUAUAUAAUUUAAAUUUGUGUGGUUCCAUCAUAUUUUAGAGUACCCAAACAACAUGUCAUGAGUAUUUAGUCUAAAAUGUAGAUGUUUCCACAGAUUGUUAAAAAUGACUAUGCUGAGAUAAUACAGUACAAAAUGAAAUGAUAAAAUACUCACAUCCUACUCUUAUUGUUAUCUGCCCUGUUCUCUUUGUAUUGAUGACCUGACAAAGAUAAUCUCCCACAUCUGACUGUCUGAAGUCUCGCAGUUGUAAGGACACAUUUCCUCUGUCCAGCUCCUCAGUGAACAGAUUCACUCUGCCCUUGUAGCCCCUCCCCUUAAACAUCUGUCUGUUCUUAUAGAGACACACACAGUCUGUCUCUUUAAACCACCUGAUCUCCAUGUCAACAGCACUGAUUUCAGGUGACAGGUGACAUGGCACAAUGAAGUCAGCCCCAAUCAACUCUAGUUUUUUCAGUCUUUUGAAGAACAAGUUGAAAAUCAUCUGUCAGGGAAAAGAGGGACAAGUAUACAGUCAUAAUAUUUUAAACUUGUUGCUAUGUUUAAAAUGCUUCAUGUUUGGAUAUGUUUGAUAUGAGAUACUGACACUGCACAGUAUACAAUUUAUAUUACUAUUUUAAAAAUUAGUAGGCCUAUGUGAAUCAGCAUUCAACCAUAGACAUUUAAAACUGGUAUAAUUUGAGUUCCUUAUGUUGCAUUUUUAAUUUAGUGAGUGGCAUCUAGCUGUUAUACUGGAAAUAAAAAAUGUGUGAUAGAUUUACAAUUUAGUUGUUUUUUUUUUUUUAUUUAAUUUAAUUUUAUUUUUUUUAUGUAGCUCUUGCAAAUAAAAGACAUUUGUCAAUUUCUCUCCUGAACUACACUGAACAAAAUUAUAAACGCAACACUUUUGUUUUUGCCCCCAUUUUUCAUGAGCUGAACUCGUUCACACCAAGACGAUAACUAUAAAGAUAACGAUAAAGAUAUAGUUCUAAAAAUCGUUUUCAGUAUUAAAGAACAGCAGUGUCCACACCACAACUAUAACGAUCAAGACAAAGAAAAAAGAUAUCGUUGGAAUCACUUUCAAAACGAUUUUUUUUUCCCUAGCUGAUGAACGAUAAAAAAUUUGACAGCCAAUCAAAUUCCAUCCUGCUGUAACGAACUCGAGAAUUUAAAGCGCCAGACGAGCGUGCGCUUAGAAUAAACAGACGAUAUCGUUCGCUGGUGUGGACGCUAAUAUCGUUAUCUUUAUAGUUAUCUUUAUAGUUAUCGUUCUUGGUGUGAACAGGCAUUAAAUCUGUGUUAGUGAGCACUUCUCCUUUGCCGAGAUAAUCCAUCCACCUCACAGGUGUGGCAUAUCAAGAUGAUGAUUAGACAGCAUGAUUAUUGCACAGGUAUGCCUUAGGUUGGCCACAAUAAAAGGCCACUGUAAAAUGUGCAGUUUUAUCACACAGCACAAUGCCACAGAUGUCGCAAGUUUUGAGGGAGCGUGCAAUUGGCAUGCUGACUGCAGGAAUGUCCACCAGAGCUGUUGCCCGUGAAUUGCCUUUUCAUUGCACCUGUGAGGUAUAUGCCUUGUGCAGCUUUUGAUGUACUGUCAGAGCCAAUUAUUAUUAUUUUUUAAGAAUCACAGGUGCAUGUCCUAACUCUAUUAACUAACUGAACAAAGUAGAGGGUUCUAGAGGGCACAUGAGUCUGAAGUAAUGAAUUUAGGUAAAGGGGUGCAGAGCCAGUAGUGGUUUUGUAGGCAAACAUCAAUGCCUUUGAUUUUAUGUGAGCAGCUAUUGGUAACUGAAGUAAUGAAUUUAGGUAAAGGGGUGCAGAGCCAGUAGUGGUUUUGUAGGCAAACAUCAAUGCCUUUGAUUUUAUGUGAGCAGCUAUUGGUAGCCAGUGCAAACUGAUAAACUGAGGUGUGAUGUGCAUUUUUAUCAUUAAAAAUUAAUCUUCCUGCUGCAUUCUGGAUUAAUUGUAAAGGUUUGAUAGAACUUGCUGGAAGACCUGCCAAGAGAGCAUUGCAAUAGUCCAGCCUGGACAGAAAAAGACCUUGAACAAGGAGUUGUGCAGCAAGUUCCGAAAGAAAGGGCCUGAUCUUCUUGAUGUUGAAUUAAGCAAAUCUGCAGGACCAGACAUUUUUAGCAAUGUGGUCUGAAGAAGUCAGCUAAUCAUCAAUCAUAACUUCAAGGUUUCUGGCUGUUUUGAAGGAGUUAUGGUUGAUGUGCCUAACUGGAUGGUGAAAUUGUGAUGAAACGAUGGGUUUGCUGGAACCACAAGCAGUUCUGUCUUGGCAAGGUUGAGUUGAAGGUGAUGCUCCUUCAUCCAUCAAGAAAUGUCUGUUAGACAAGCUGAGAUUCAAGCAGCUACCGUUGGAUCAUCAGGAUGGAAUGAGAGGUAGAGUUGAGUGGCAUCAGCAUAGCAGUGGUAUGAAAAGCCGUGUUUCUGUAUGACAGAACCUAAUGAUGCCA
rnacentral:lncRNA from 1 species